rnacentral:rRNA from 1 species
UGGUGGAGCGAUUUGUCUGCUUAAUUGCGAUAACGAACGAGACUCUGGCCUACUAACUAGAAGACAGUUCUUUGAGACUGUCAUACUUCUUAGAGGGAUAAGGGGAUUGAAGCCCCAAGAGAUUGAGCAAUAACA